rnacentral:lncRNA from 1 species
GUUUCUUUUGUCUUUGCCCCAUGUGGUAACUUUAGCGAUGGCAAGUAUAUUACAGAAUCCGUGCGACUUCUGGGCUUGUCACUGGGCCCACGAAAGGACUUGAAUCACAUACCCAAUCUUUUAAUUUUUAGUACAGUUUUCUUUUUAAAGUUGAGAGAUAGAGCUCAAGCCAAUCGAAAUGAUUCGGUUUAUAUCGAACUUGCAAGUCGGUAGAGUUUUUAACUUUUGAUAAGUUUUGACAAGGUUUUUUAUGGACAAAACCGGAAUGUUGGUAUUGCUAGAUGGCCGGUUAAUGCGGCGGCUGGAUAUGGAUGGGUUUAAAUGGCUGUGGUGGUGGCUGAGGUCAUUAUAGAGAUUUGGGAACUGAAAGCGAAGGUUCUGGGACUGACGGUGUAGCGUUUGAGUUUUGUCACGUGGCAUAAUUCACAUUGUAGUAGAUUUGGGCCUUAUUAAAAGAAUUCUGCAUUCUCUAUUUUGUCUUUCAGCCCAAUUUGGCCCGAUAAUUGAUUUAGUUCUAAUAAUACUUCAAAAUAGGCUUGG